rnacentral:rRNA from 1 species
GCAGUCGAGCGGAUGACGGGAGCUUGCUCCUUGAUUCAGCGGCGGACGGGUGAGUAAUGCCUAGGAAUCUGCCUGGUAGUGGGGGACAACGUUUCGAAAGGAACGCUAAUACCGCAUACGUCCUACGGGAGAAAGCAGGGGACCUUCGGGCCUUGCGCUAUCAGAUGAGCCUAGGUCGGAUUAGCUAGUUGGUGGGGUAAUGGCUCACCAAGGCGACGAUCCGUAACUGGUCUGAGAGGAUGAUCAGUCACACUGGAACUGAGACACGGUCCAGACUCCUACGGGAGGCAGCAGUGGGGAAUAUUGGACAAUGGGCGAAAGCCUGAUCCAGCCAUGCCGCGUGUGUGAAGAAGGUCUUCGGAUUGUAAAGCACUUUAAGUUGGGAGGAAGGGCAGUAAGUUAAUACCUUGCUGUUUUGACGUUACCGACAGAAUAAGCACCGGCUAACUCUGUGCCAGCAGCCGCGGUAAUACAGAGGGUGCAAGCGUUAAUCGGAAUUACUGGGCGUAAAGCGCGCGUAGGUGGUUUGUUAAGUUGGAUGUGAAAGCCCCGGGCUCAACCUGGGAACUGCAUCCAAAACUGGCAAGCUAGAGUACGGUAGAGGGUGGUGGAAUUUCCUGUGUAGCGGUGAAAUGCGUAGAUAUAGGAAGGAACACCAGUGGCGAAGGCGACCACCUGGACUGAUACUGACACUGAGGUGCGAAAGCGUGGGGAGCAAACAGGAUUAGAUACCCUGGUAGUCCACGCCGUAAACGAUGUCAACUAGCCGUUGGAAUCCUUGAGAUUUUAGUGGCGCAGCUAACGCAUUAAGUUGACCGCCUGGGGAGUACGGCCGCAAGGUUAAAACUCAAAUGAAUUGACGGGGGCCCGCACAAGCGGUGAAGCAUG